rnacentral:rRNA from 1 species
UACAGAGGGUGCAAGCGUUAAUCGGAAUUACUGGGCGUAAAGCGCGCGUAGGCGGCCUGGCCAGUCGGAUGUGAAAGCCCCGGGCUUAACCUGGGAAUUGCAUUCGAUACUACCAGGCUGGAAUGUAGUAGAGGGAAGCGGAAUUCCAGGUGUAGCGGUGAAAUGCGUAGAUAUCUGGAGGAACAUCAGUGGCGAAGGCGGCUUCCUGGACUAACAUUGACGCUGAGGUGCGAAAGCGUGGGGAGCAAACAGG